CUGCCUCAUUCCUUCCUACUCGAACAGAUGGAUCGUAAAGGGUGACAAGAGCAGGAGAGCAGAGUGCCUGGAGAAGUCAUGCCUAGUCUCUGUAUUCUAGCUCAAAAGAGAUACUUGUCACUCUCUCUCAGAGUCAAUUGGCAAGAGCUGGUCACAUGGACACACCCGUGCAGGAAGACUGGGCGUUGAGGAAAAGCACGUGUAUGUUUGGCCUUCACAUCCACUCACCACUCUCUCAUGACUCACCCAGAGCAACUUCCAGUCCUGCAAGCUGCAUUUAUGUUUGAUUCUUAGGACAAGCCAGAGAUGCAAAGAGUGUAAAGGAGCAUUUUUCCUCCCCUCACCACUGACACCCUGGCCUCUGGGACCAGAAGCUGAGUCUCAUUUGGGCAUUCACAGAGCAAACAGGAAUGCUAGGGGCCCACAACUCCGCAGGCAGCUGAGGAGAGGCAGCAACAAGGCAUCAGACUCAUCUAUGCAGACAUUUCACGUUGGGACCUUGUGCCACUGCCCCUCAUCUCCUUAGGAGUAAUAAUUUGCUGAUUUUCUCCCAAGACGUGGGUGCUUU
rnacentral:lncRNA from 1 species